rnacentral:misc_RNA from 1 species
GAAAUGCGAUAAGUAAUGUGAAUUGCAGAAUUCAGUGAAUCAUCGAAUCUUUGAACGCACCUUGCGCUCCUUGGUAUUCCUUGGAGCAUGCCUGUUUGAGUAUCAUGAAAUCUUCAAAGUAAAUCUUUUGUUAACUCAAUUGGUUUCUACUUUGGUAUUGGAGGUCUUUGCAGCUUCACACCUGCUCCUCUUUGUUCAUUAGCUGGAUCUCAGUGUUAUGCUUGGUUCCACUCGGCGUGAUAAGUUAUCUAUCGCUGAGGACACUGUAAAAGGUGGCCAAGGUAAAUGCAGAUGAACCGCUUCUAAUAGUCCAUUGACUUGGACAAUACUUUUAUGAUCUGACCUCUAAUCAGGUAGGACUCCCCGCUGAACUUAAGC